rnacentral:lncRNA from 1 species
AAGAGUUGUUCAAGGCAACUCUCAUUUCUUCAUACAACAAUUUGUAAGUGAAGAAUCAUGGCACAUAAAGUGUACAUGCCCUUGUGCUUACUUCUCAAGUUCCUUGUUCAUGUAACAAAGAAACAAGCACUAAUGCUUGCGGUAACUAACAGUUGUUCAAAGCAACUCUUACUUCUUCAUACAACAAUUUGAAAUUGAAGAAUUAUGACAUUAAAAGUGUUGUCGUCUUUGUGAUAGACUUAUCUAACAUGUUCUUCCAAUGAUACAUUAUCAAUAGGAAGAUUGUGAGGAUGAGACUACUUAGGUACAUAUACAAUCCAUUUAAGACAAUCUAUGGGAUUUUUCUUUGUCAAGUUUUGGAUAGCGUUUGCAAAUAUAUUGGUAAAUAAAUACAUAACGAAUAUAAAUUGAUUGAUUUUAAGCCAUUUGAUCCGGGUCAUUAAAUCAAAUAGCACCACCCACUAUUUUUGGUAAAUUCCAUAUCCCUCAUCGGAAUUCAAGGGUUUUGAAGGAAACUCUUAGUAGGGUAUGGGAGACUCAUCAUUACCAAGCCCACCUCACAAUGAUAUGAUGUUGGCAAGCAUUAAUAAUAAUAAGAGAGUACGCUUACUCAUUUGCAUCUCUUGCAAGUACCCAUCUUAUUUGGCCUCUAGAGAAUGAAGCCUCACAAUGAUAUGAUGUUGGCUCCAUUGCACUUAGUUAAGUCAUUCCCACCAUGCAAGUUCGAGUAGGGGUUCAAGAACAACCUCACAAUGAUAUGAUGUUGAUCAUUCUCGUUUCCUACCUUCACAACAUCAUGUAUGCAUAUAAAACUCUUCUUGAGUGUAAGCACGCACUUUGUACUCCCCCAUGAUAGGGUGAAAUCGGUGUACGAGUCACAAAUGAUCAGAGCCUACCAAGGUGGAAGGCCACGAAAGAGUGUUCAAAGCACUCUCAUGCUUAUCAACUUAAUAAUGGUUUGGUUGAGGGUUUUAGGUCUCAUCACAUAUAAGCAUGCAUUUUAAUCUUAUUAAACAAUUUGGUCAUAUUACAACUAUUGGUCCAUGUGAUUGAUUUAGUUGUACAUGAUACUCCAACUAUGCUUGUAAAACGGUUUUUAAAGCAAGAGUAUAUGGUAUUACUAAAUAAGGUUUGCAUUCAUUGAUGGACUAUAUAGUUGCCUUAGGGCCUUCGGAUGACUAUGAACCUUUGAUUAGAUCCAACACGAGCCUAGUGUUGAAUCUCGGUCUAGGGAUGGUGAUUGCUUUUAGUUACGCGUUUAAUCACAUUAAGGCGUGUUUUUCCUAUUGGGCAUUGGACCCAACUACUCCAAUUUCAUUUAUAUCAAAUAAAACAAGAAAGGAGUACUUCAAAGUAAAGAAGAGCUUAUGCUCUUUUACAACAUUUGAUCAUAUCAAAUUACAACCAAAAUCUAAUCUACAUAUUCCCAUGGUUCAAACAAAUUUGAGACGGGCCUUUCACAUAGCUCAAUUAUUGUAGGCUUAGGUUCACAAUCACCCUUUAAUUAAUUAACGCUUUAACUAAUUAAACCUGAAUGCAACAUUUUCAUUUGUUUUUUGUUUUCAUAGAAUUGAUUUAAAUGGAGCUAAAUGAAAUGAAAAUCCAAUUCUCAUUUAAAGAUACAAAACUAUUUUGUUCUCAACUAAUUUGGGCCAAAAAGCAACAACCUCAACCAUUGGGCUAUUUUGCAAAACACAAACUUUUGAGGUCCCUUUGUAAAAACACAAAAGUCCACUACUUCAUGUAAUUACAACUAGAACCCAAAAACUUCAUUAGAGGAGCAAAACAAUUUGUCCUUUAGUGAUUUUGGGCCUUUACGUAAAAACAUAAACUUUCGGGUCAAAGUACAAAUACACAAAAGUAUCAAAACUUUAUGUAAUUGCAUAAAAGCCCCAAAAGUACCCUAUUUAAUAGGGUGACCUAUUUUGGAUGAGAGAUGGUGUCAUAAAACUUUUGAAUUUUUCAACAAAAGUGAAAGGUGAUGGGUAAGUGAUUGGUAUGGUGUUGAUUGAAAAAUGACAAAUCAUGUCAUACCAUUUAUUACAAUAAAGUCACACCAACCACCAUAAACAAAACUUUAUGAAAAACAUCAAACACUUUGAAUCAAAACACCAAACCUUUUUGUUCUUGGUUAGAACAUAACAAGAACAAUGAAGAACAUCCAUGAAAACCCAUAAGAGCUCCAUGAACAUUUUUCACCCAAAGACACCCCAAAAACUCUCAAACUUAAGGGAAAAAACAUAUUACCAUACUACGGUACUUAGGGGUUCCUAAUGUCACUUUAAAACACUUUUAACAAGACAAACAUGAACCCAAAAAUCCACCAUUUGGAUUUGGCCGAAUUUCCCCAAAAACAUGGCACCAAAUUUUAGCUCCAAAAUUCAUGCUCAUAUGAACUACAUCUACAACAUUUGAGAUGGCAAAUUUUCUAACAAAAUUUACAUUCAAAGAAGCAACAAUAAAGCUUGUAACAAUUACAACAUUCAAAUCAUAAACUAUGAAAAUACAAAACCCAAAAGGAUUCACCAACUACUAGACCUAGGCUCUGAUACCACUUGAAGGAAAUUUUGUGAAAAACAUGUUCAUUUGAGCAACAUCUAUGGCACGCAAUUAACAAUUAAAGGCGGAAUCAUGCUUAUAUGCACUCAAAAACAAAACAUUACACAUGAAAUUCAAAGCCUAGUAGAAGGGUGAACCAAGACUCAACUCAAAACAAUGUGAGUUGAGAAACUUUAUACCUUUGUUGAUUCCUCUUUGCAUAAGGAAAGGCUAAUUACCCAAGGAGAGGGCCUUCAUUCUUGCUUCUUAGCUCCAUGGAUUUCUUGGAUGAGGAUGGUUGAAAGGAUUCUCCUAGUUCCCAAAGUUGAGAACCUCUAAGUCUCCACACCAAGGUAGGACUUGAAGAAGAGAUGAGUGACCUAGAGGAAGUAAGAUUGCUAGCUAAAAUCCUCUAGGGUGGCUGGCCUCUUAGAGACAAAAAUGGAGCUUGUGUUCUCAUCUUUUCUCUAAAAGAAACCCUAAGGAUGAAAUGGCUAUAAAGUUG